GUCGCGAAGCGACGAAAAUCGGGAUCGAAUCCCACUACGGUAACAUACGAGGGUAUCCAAACAACACAUACUAUCCAAAUAAAAAAAUAUGGAGUUCCGGUUUAGACCAUGGGCGUGCGACGACCCCGAUGAAAUUCGGGAUAUCACGGUCUUCGUUAAUGUUAAUAAGCGUCCGUCAGAUCAGUAGGGGAAACGCAAUAUCCGCACAAUAAGAUGUCUGCGACCCGAAAGAAUAUUCAAAGUAAGCUGUUAAUUUUGUUGCGUCAGAAGCUAAUCAGCCGGUAACGUGACUACACUGAUAUAAUUUGUGAUACAAACAUGCUUUAUUCCAUACUGAGUAGCAUUUUGAAACGGCGACAUUUUGAACAUUUUUAUAUUUAGAGUGAGAGUGGAUACACGUUACACUGGCGCCGACAUUUUGAAAAUUUGAGGAAACAAAAACAUUCUCCAACGAGUUCUUCAGCUCGGGGAAUGAGAGAAUAGAUUCACCUUUGUGUCGCUUUUCAGAUCGUAUUUUAAUUCCUUUCCGGUACUUUAGUUUCUUUGAACUUCUCUGUUACUAAGCCUAUAUUGAAUUUUUAAAAUUAAGAAAUCCGUGAUUUUACUUGCAGGCAUGACGGAUUAAUGGAAUUAUUUUACUUUUAUAUAGAAUAUGGACGGCACUCCAGUACAGCAUGUGCAUGGUUGGCCAGUUGACAAUUUUAGAAACGCAUCUUGGUCUAUUAUACAGAGUAUUGUUGUACUGCUCCAGAGUGCUUGUUGACAGACUGAAACCACUUGCUUGCGGCUCAUAAGGUUCACUUCUUGAGAGCAGGCAGCUACAAAAUGGAAGGUCAACAAAUCCAGUAUACUUGAAAAGCAAGAAAGAAACACCAGAAAAUAUAAAAAGACAGAAGAACAAGGGAACUUAAAAAAAAAACUUUUAAGGAUAGGAAUUCAGGAUUUAUUUAGAAACUAAAUUUAUUUUGAGAAGAGCAGUGUUUGACAAAGCUCAGUUACUUUAAGAGAUAAUGUAUUAUCACAUUGGUUUUGUUAUUGUCGAGCCCGCUUGCGGAAGCGAAGACAUAGUUGUCCAAAUGUCUAUUCGGCAUAUGUGCGUCCGUCCGUCCGUCCGGAUUUGUUUGUCCGGACCAUAAUUUGGACAUGCAUGGAGCAAUCUUGUUUUUAUAUAUGGUAUGAAUGUUAACUUCAGUGAGACGGAAUGUCAUGCGCAAGCCCCAGGUUCCUAUCUCAAAGGUCAAGAUCACACUUACAGGUCAAAGGUCGAAUUCAAAAAUGACUGUCUGGAGCAUUUCUUCUUCAUGCAUGGAGGGAUUUUGAUGUUACUUGGCACAAUUGUUCACCAUCAUGAGAUGGAGUGUAAUGCGCAAGAACCAGGUCCCUAGGUCUAAGGUCAAGGUCACACUUAGAGGUCAAAGGAUACAGGAA